GCCAUUGGCCCCGAGGAUGCGGGGAGUGCCCUGCGGAGUCCCACUGGGAGCGGCGGGCAGGUGAGCUGGGCUCGUGGACCAGCUCGCUGCUUGGGCCGGAGCACCGGCGGGGUUCGGCACUGUCCGCCCUCCCGGCUUGGGGUCUGGGGUCCACGGGCCUGCCCAGCCACUGGCCGGUGGGAUGACCACAGCCCGUUAGUUCAAGUGUUCCGUUCAGCGGCUCUAGGCGCUUUCCGCCGAUUCCCAGUAGCCUUGCUGGACACCCUCUGCGCACUUUGAAUACCUGCUGGAAUAAUACCUGCUGGAAUAUUGGCAGAGACCUACAUGGGUCCCCCUGUGAGCCAGACAUUUGUGCCCGGCUCUCAUACGUGUUAACUCCUUUACUUUCUCAACCGCAGCAGAAGGUCGUAUACCCCAAACUCCAUCUCAGCAUCUGCUUGCGGAGAAGCCAUCCUGCAACACUUGCUACCAGGAGUGGUCUGAGAAAGCAAGGGAGGAGACGGGCCAAACCCUCACAGCCCCUGUGGUGGUCUGUUCAUUUCCCACUAGCUUUGAAGCUGGAGGGUGAACCCGUGAAGGGAAACGGAAUACACUAAGGGGGUGACUUUUCCACCUUACAGUAGCAAUCAAGAAGGAUCAUGGAAUUGGGCAGCUGCUCCUUAGGACUACUGAUACUCUUAAGAAAAACAACGCGGUGGGGGGGCGCCUGGGUGGUGCAGUCGUUAAGCGUCUGCCUUCGGCUCAGGGCGUGAUCCGGGCGUUCUGGGAUGGAGCCCCACGUCAGGCUCUUCCGCUGGGCACCUGCUUCUUCCUCUCCCACUCCCCCUGCUUGUGUUCCCUCUCUCGCUGGCUGUCUCUCUCUCAAAUAAAUAAAUAAAAUCUUAAAAGAAAGAAAAAAAGAAAAACAACGGGCACCUGGGUGGCUUAGUCGUUUGAGCGCCCCACUCUUGAUCUCAGCUCAGGUCACGGUCUCAGGGUCAUGAGUUCAAGGCCCGCACUGGGGCCAGCGUGGAGCCUACUUAAAAAAAUAAAAUAAAUAAAAAGAAAAACAGGAGUGCCUGGUGGCUCAGUCUCUUAAGCGUCUGUCUUCGUUUCAGAUCACGAUCCCAGGGUCCUGGGAUGGAGCCCCGCAUUGGGGUCCCUGCUGUGCAGGGAGCCUGCUUCUCCUUCUACCUCUGCUGCUCCCCCUGCUUGUGCGCUCUCUCUCUCUCUCUCUCUGUCAAAUGAAUAAAUAAAAAUCUUUAAAAAUAAAUAAAAAUUAAAAAAAAAAAAAAAAAGGAUAGCUGAUGGCUAAUAACAGACAAUUGAAAGCCAUGGAGCCUGUUUGGUUGCAUAUAAAGAAACCAUCUCCCACACUGAGAUGAUAAAGACAAGGGCCAGGCCCAGGGAUUAAUACGUCAAAGAUGGUAAACACCCAACCAAGGCAGUCCUGUUAUGCUAAGUUUGGGAAGCUGGUUGGGAAAAUCUGGGGCCACGACAUGGCUUGGAGGUAUCUGGUAUCUGGCUAGAUACCCUCACAAAGGCUUUGACUCCCCAGCCUACCCACGUGGCUAUUUAGCCAGCCCUCCUUCCCCACCUACUGGACACCAAGUAUAGAAUCACAGUUAUUUUUUGGGCAUAAUUUAGCUGGAAACAUGAGAUGGAAAGGGAACUAUAAUCCCCUCUCCCUCAAAGGAACUGUGUAUUCGUUUGCUAGACCUUCACUAACAAAGUGCCACAAACAGGAAAGCCUACCAGGAAUCGGCCUCUGGAGGCCAGAAGUCAGGACAAGAGGACAGCAUGGGGCACCUGGCUGGCGCCGUCCGAGGGGCAUGUGAUUCUAGAGCCCCACAUUGGGGGUAGAGAUUACUAAAAAAGUAAACUUGAAAAAGAAAAAAGAUGACAGCACGUCUGGGUCCUGCUGAGGACUGCGAGAGGCUGUCAUUCCUCUGUCCCAGCUUCUGGCGGUCUGCCGGCAAGGUCUGGUAUUCCUUGGCUUGUGGGUGCAUCGCACCGAUCUAUGCCUUCAUAUUCACAUGGCUUUUCCCCUACACGUGUGUCCAUUUCUGCGUCCAAAUUUCCCCUACUUAAAAGGACACCAGUGAUAUUGAAUUAGAACCCGCCCUAAUGAAUUUCUCCAAACUGGAUCAUCUGCAAAGACCCUGUUUCCAAAUAAGGUCAUAUUCACAGUUACUUAGGGUUAGUACUUCAACAUCUUUUCUGAGAGGAGGUGGGGAUACAAUUCAACCCAUAACAAGCUGUAAGACCAGCCAACAUAUACUUCCAGGAACUGGGAAAAUUUGUGUGGGGCUGGAUUAUGAGUGUGUUUAAUGAGUGGUGGUCCCCAGCACCUUUAAUUC
rnacentral:lncRNA from 1 species